rnacentral:rRNA from 1 species
UACGUAGGGGGCAAGCGUUGUCCGGAUUUACUGGGCGUAAAGAGCGCGUAGGCGGAAGCUUAAGUGUGGCCUGAAAGCCCCCGGCUCAACCGGGGAAGGUGGCUGCAAACUGGGCUUCUUGAGGGGGAUAGGGGAAAGUGGAAUUCCGGGUGUAGCGGUGAAAUGCGUAGAUAUCAAGUGGAACACCAGUGGCGAAGGCGAGUCCCUGGACAUUUCCUGACACUGAGGCACGAAAGCUAGGGGAGCAAACAGG